rnacentral:rRNA from 1 species
GGCCCUCUGGGUCCAACCUCCCACCCGUGUUUAUUGUACCUUGUUGCUUCGGUGCGCCCGCCUCACGGCCGCCGGGGGGCUUCUGCCCCCGGGUCCGCGCGCACCGGAGACACCAUUGAACUCUGUCUGAAGAUUGCAGUCUGAGCAUAAACUAAAUAAGUUAAAACUUUCAACAACGGAUCUCUUGGUUCCGGCAUCGAUGAAGAACGCAGCGAAAUGCGAUAACUAAUGUGAAUUGCAGAAUUCAGUGAAUCAUCGAGUCUUUGAACGCACAUUGCGCCCCCUGGUAUUCCGGGGGGCAUGCCUGUCCGAGCGUCAUUGCUGCCCUCAAGCACGGCUUGUGUGUUGGGCUCCGUCCCCCCGGGGACGGGCCCGAAAGGCAGCGGCGGCACCGAGUCCGGUCCUCGAGCGUAUGGGGCUUUGUCACCCGCUCUGUAGGCCCGGCCGGCGCCAGCCGACAACCAAUCAUCCUUUUCAGGUUGACCUCGGAUCAGGUAGGGAUACCCGCUGAACUUAAGCAUAUCAAUAAGCGGAGGAA